GGAACCCUUAAGAGUAUAGGGGUGCUAGCUUGCUAGAACCUACACACAGGUGCUGCACGGCUGUCGUCAGCUCGUGUCGUGAGAUGUUGGGUUAAGUCCCGCAACGAGCGCAACCCUCGUCCUUAGUUGCUAACAGUUCGGCUGAGCACUCUAGGGAGACUGCCUUCGCAAGGAGGAGGAAGGUGAGGACGACGUCAAGUCAUCAUGGCCCUUACGGCCAGGGCUACACACGCGCUACAAUGGGGCGUACAGAGAGCUGCGAUACCGCGAGGUGGAGCCAAUCUCUUAAAGCGUCUCUCAGUUCGGAUUGUUCUCUGCAACUCGAGAACAUGAAGCUGGAAUCACUAGUAAUCGCAGAUCAGCAUGCUGCGGUGAAUACGUUCCCGGGCCUU
rnacentral:rRNA from 1 species